UACGGAGGGUGCAAGCGUUAUCCGGAUUUAUUGGGUUUAAAGGGUCCGUAGGCGGGCCUGUAAGUCAGUGGUGAAAUCUCAUAGCUUAACUAUGAAACUGCCAUUGAUACUGCAGGUCUUGAGUAAAUUUGAAGUGGCUGGAAUAAGUAGUGUAGCGGUGAAAUGCAUAGAUAUUACUUAGAACACCAAUUGCGAAGGCAGGUCACUACGAUUUAACUGACGCUGAUGGACGAAAGCGUGGGUAGCGAACAGG
rnacentral:rRNA from 1 species